rnacentral:tRNA from 1 species
GUAGCUCAGCUGGAUAGAGCGCUGCCCUCCGAAGGCAGAGGCCAGAGGUUCGAAUCCUCUC